AUGCUUACCUGGCAGGGGAGAUACCAUGGUCACGAAGGUGGUUUUCCCAGGGCGAGGCUUAUCCGUUGCACUCCAGAUGUGCUGACGCUGUGACUCCCCAAAUGUGGGAAACUCAACUGCACUACUGUGGUAGUGGGGGACUGCGUUCGCUCACUCCCCUG
ensembl:snRNA U1 U1 spliceosomal RNA